rnacentral:rRNA from 1 species
UACGUAGGGCGCAAGCGUUGUCCGGAAUUAUUGGGCGUAAAGAGCUCGUAGGCGGUCUGUCGCGUCCGUUGUGAAAACUCGAGGCUCAACCUCGGGUCUGCAGUCGAUACGAGCAAACUAGAGUGUUGCAGGGGAGACUGGAAUUCCUGGUGUAGCGGUGAAAUGCGCAGAUAUCAGGAAGAACACCCGUGGCUAAGGCGGUUCUCUAGGACGGUACUGACGCUGAGACGCGAAAGCGUGGGGAGCGAACAGG